UACGGAGGGUGCAAGCGUUGUCCGGAUUUAUUGGGUUUAAAGGGUGCGUAGGCGGCCCGUUAAGUCAGUGGUGAAAGCCUCCAGCUCAACUGGAGAACUGCCAUUGAUACUGACGGGCUUGAGUACAGACGAGGUUGGCGGAAUUGAUUGUGUAGCGGUGAAAUGCAUAGAUAUUAGGAAGAACACCGGUGGCGAAGGCGGCCCACUGGUCCGGUACUGACGCUGAGGUGCGAAAGCGUGGGGAGCAAACAGG
rnacentral:rRNA from 1 species